UACGUAGGGGGCUAGCGUUGUUCGGAGUUACUGGGCGUAAAGAGCGCGCAGGCGGUCGUUCAAGUCGAGUGUGAAAGCCCCCGGCUCAACUGGGGAGGGUCACUCGAUACUGAUCGACUUGAAGGCAGGAGAGGGAAGCGGAAUUCCCGGUGUAGUGGUGAAAUGCGUAGAGAUCCGGAAGAACACCAGUGGCGAAGGCGGCCUGCUGGGCAGUUGCUGACGCUGAGGCGCGACAGCGUGGGGAGCAACAGG
rnacentral:rRNA from 1 species